AUGGAAUUCCCGCUCAGGGGGAUGGAGCAGCAGAUCCGAAGGGGGGAGGGUGGGAAUUUGUGCCUAAAAACCGGGAAAGAGCCACAAUUCUCCUGGAUUUGCUGUUCCCAAUGUCCCAAGGAGAGGGGGAAGCCGCUCCAGGAGAAUCCUCGGCGCUCCGAAGGAAAUCAUUCCCAGCCUCCGGAAUCCUCCAGGGACGGGCUGGGAGCGGCUCUGGAAGUUUGGGAUCGCCGCAGGAUCCAGCUCCAGCAAUUCCAGCAGCAGAUUUUCCACCUUCCCAGGGGAAUCCUUCCCAGUGCUGGCUCCAGGAAUGUUCCCUUUGGAUCCACACCACGCUCUUCCUUCCUUUCUUCCACGGCUCCAGCUUUUCCCGGGAUGCUCCUGCCAAUCCUGAAGGGUUUGGAUCUCUUUUCCCAAAUCCUGGGGCAGCUGUGGAGCUGCUCGGAACUCCACACUUCAUUUCUUCCCAAGGGUUAUUCCCGGGGGUUAUUCCCAUGGGUUAUUCCCAAGGGUUUUUCCCAGGGAUUAUUCCCAGGGGUUAUUCCCAAGGGUUAUUCCCAUGGGUUAUUCCCAGGGAUUAUUCCCAGGGGUUAUUCCCAUAGGUUAUUCCCGAGGGUUAUUCCCAGGGAUUAUUCCUGGGGCUAUUCCCAGGGUUUAUCCCCAAGGGUUAUUCCCAUGGGUUAUUCCCAGGGAUUAUUCCCAUGGGUUAUUCCUGGGGUUAUUCCCAUGGGUUAUUCCCGAGGGUUAUUCCCAUGGGUUAUUCCUGGGGUUAUUCCCAUGGGUUAUCCCCAAGGGUUAUUCCCAUGGGUUAUUCCCAGGGGUUAUUCCCAGGGGUUAUUCCCAGGGAUUAUUCCCAUGGGUUAUUCCCAUGGGUUAUUCCCGUGGGUUAUUCCCGUGGGUUAUUCCCGUGGGUUAUUCCCAAGGGUUUAUCCCCAAGGGUUAUUCCCAUGGGUUAUUCCCGUGGGUUAUUCCCAAGGGUUAUUCCCAGGGUUUAUCCCCAAGGGUUAUUCCCAGGGGUUAUUCCCAGGGGUUAUUCCCAUGGGUUAUUCCCGGGGUUUAUUCCCGUGGGUUAUUCCCGAGGGUUAUUCCAUCCCUCUGGCUCCGUUUGCAGCUCUCCAGUGAGGAUCAAAGCCUUGCCACGACGCCUCAGAGCAGACGGAUCUUCCCAGAGAAUUCCCCCUUUUUUUUCUUUUCUCCCUCUCCCUCAACCUUGAAAUUCCCAAGGCGGGAUCAGAAAAUCCAGCGGGAUCAGAAAAUCCAGCGGGAUCAGUUUUUUUCCUCAUGCUGAAAAUCAGGGAAAAAUCAAAAAUUUAAAAAAAAAAAAAAUCCAAAAAUCCAGAGACAUCCAAACGUAAAACUUCCAGGAAAAGUCGGGAAUAGUGCCGUGACAUUCUUUGUUCCGCGAGGAUCCCGCGGGGCCGGGCUCGGUUCCCCCAGGAUUCCUUUUCCCGGGAGCCGGGGCUCCGGAUCCUGCUAUGCUGGGUUUCCCGGGAAUGCUGGGUUUCCCGGGAAUGCUGGGCCCUCUCCUCCAGGGAAAAGAGCAGGAGCAGCAGCAGCAGGAGCUCGGCCUCCUCCCCAGCACGGCAGGAGGGCAACAACCAAAUUCCUGCCAGGAAAAAACACCAGGAAUCGGGAUCAGACAGGAUUGGGGCCUGGAGGAGAGCGGGAAUGGGAAUGAGGGAGGAGCAGGAGGGUUUCCUGAGGAAAGAUGGGAAUGGUAAAAGGGCGGGAAUCCUGUUCCCUUUCCCAAGGAAAGUUGGGAAUGGUAGAACAUGAAAUUUUGUUCUCCUCUCCAGGGAAAGUUUGGGAAUGGUAAAAGGGCGGGAAUCCUGUUCCCUUUCCCAAGGGAAGUUGGGAAUGGUAGAACACGAAACCUUGUUCUCCUCUCCAGAGAAAGUUUGCGAAUGGUAAAAGGGUGGGAAUCCUGCUCCCAUUCCCAAGGGAAAAAGACCAGGAAGCCUUGCUCUCCUUCCCAAGGAAAACUGGGAAUGGUGGAACACCAGGAAAUCCUGUUCCCCCUCCCAUGGAAAACCGGGAAUGGUACAAGGCCAAGCAAUCCUGUUGUUCCCUUUCCUGAAGAAAAGCUGGGAAUGAUGGAAGAGCCCGGAGUGAGCAGCCAUGG
rnacentral:lncRNA from 1 species